rnacentral:lncRNA from 10 species
AAUACAGCUCGUGUUCGACAAUAUUCCUUGAUGACAGCACAGCCAGCCAGCAUUAUCUUACAAUGACAAUAAUAUCGCACUGAGAAGCCUUUUAGGAAAAUCAGGAUGGAUGUGAGGCAUCUUUCUGUGAAGAAAAGCAUCCCAGAAGAUUCUGAUUUUCACCCCAGCUCAAUCAUUCCAAACUUUGCUGCUGAUUGAAAUCACCUGGGAAACGUUUACCAAGAACCUUGAUGCCCAAAGCCAUACCCAAUACUAAUUAAAUUAAAAUGUCUCAUGUGGAAGAUGAGGCAGAUAUUAAAGCUUCUCAGGCGAUUUUAAUGUGCAGCAAAGUUUGAGAGCCACUGCUUAAUUUGAGUUUAGGACGAGAAACUGCUCCUAUUUGGUGGGACCUUGGGCAAGUCAGUUUUAAGUGUGACCUUGGAGAUACCUCAUCAUAUCACACAAAGAGAUGCAGAUAGAUCUUUGAGCAUACCUGAUGAACAGUUACACUCAUUUGC